UACAGAGGGGGGCAAGCGUUGUUCGGAAUUACUGGGCGUAAAGGGCGCGUAGGCGCCUUCUAAGUCGAACGUGAAAUCCCCGGGCUCAACCCGGGAACUGCGUCCGAUACUGGAAGGCUUGAAUCCGGGAGAGGGAUGCGGAAUUCCAGGUGUAGCGGUGAAAUGCGUAGAUAUCAGGAGGAACACCGGUGGCGAAGGCGGGUCUCUGGGCAGUGAACUGACGCUGAGGAGCGAAAGCGUGGGGAGCGAACAGG
rnacentral:rRNA from 1 species